rnacentral:rRNA from 1 species
UGAAUACGAGAUGCUACGGCGUCGAAGCAGUGUAUGUCAGACUUCCAAGAAAAGCUCGCAAUGUCAUAAAUAAAGAAUGCCUGUACCAUAACCGACACAGGUGGGUAGGUAGAGUAUACUAAGGGGCGCGAGAUAACUCUCUCUAAGGAACUCGGCAAAAUAACUCCGUAACUUCGGGAGAAGGAGUGCCUUCUUUAAGAAGGUUGCAAUAACAAGAUCCAAGCAACUGUUUACCAAAAACACAGGUCUCCGCUAAGUCGUAAGACGAUGUAUGGGGGCUGACGCCUGCCCAGUGCCAGAAGGUUAAAGAAGUUGGUUAGCUUUUGCGAAGCUGAUGACUGAAGCCCUGGUGAACGGCGGCCGUAACUACAACGGUCCUAAGGUAGCGAAAUUCCUUGUCGGGUAAGUUCCGACCCGCACGAAAGGCGUAAUGAUUUGGAUACUGUCUCGGAGAGGGACUCGGUGAAAUAGACUUGUCUGUGAAGAUGCGGACUACCUGCACCAGGACAGAAAGACCCUAUGAAGCUUUACUGUAACUUGAAAUUGAAAUUGGACUUUAUUUGCGCAGUAUAGGUGGAAGGCGUUGAAAGUAAUCUUGCGGGAUUAGUGGAGCCAUCAGUGAGAUACCACUCCUAUAAUGUUAGAUUUCUAACUUUGGAUCAUGAUCUGGUCAAAGAACAGUUUCAGGCGGGCAGUUUGACUGGGGCGGUCGCCUCCCAAAUGGUAACGGAGGCGUACAAAGGUUUCCUCUGAACGGGUAGAAAUCGUAUCUAGAGUGUAAAGGCAUAAGGAAGCUUGACUGUGAGACCUACAAGUCGAGCAGGGACGAAAGUCGGUCUUAGUGAUCUGACGGUGCUGAGUGGAAAGGCCGUCACUCAACGGAUAAAAGUCACUCUAAGGAUAACAGGCUGAUCUCCCCCAAGAGUUCACAUCGACGGGGAGGUUUGGCACCUCGAUGUCGGCUCAUCGCAUCCUGGGGCGGUAGUACGUCCCAAGGGUUGGGCUUUUCGCCCAUGAAAGCGGUACGCGAGCUGGGUUCAGAACGUCGUGAGACAGUUCGGUCCAUAUCCGGUGUAGGCGUUAGAAUAUUGAGAGGAGCCUUCUUUAGUACGAGAGGACCGAGAAGGACAUACCUCUGGUGUACCAGUUAUCGUGCCAACGGUAAACGCUGGGUAGCUAUGUAUGGAGAGGAUAACCGCUGAAAGCAUCUAAGUGGGAAGCCCACCUCAAGAUGAG